GUGCCAGCAGCCGCGGUAAUACGUAGGACCCAAGCGUUAUCCGGAGUGACUGGGCGUAAAGAGUUGCGUAGGCGGCUUAGUAAGUGGAUAGUGAAACCUGGUGGCUCAACCAUACAGACUAUUAUCCAAACUGCUGAGCUCGAGAAUGGUAGAGGUGGCUGGAAUUUCUAGUGUAGGAGUGAAAUCCGUAGAUAUUAGAAGGAACACCGAUGGCGUAGGCAGGCCACUGGACCAUUUCUGACGCUAAGGCACGAAAGCGUGGGGAGCGAACCGGAUUAGAUACCCGCGUAGUCC
rnacentral:rRNA from 1 species